CGCUAGCGGUGCGUUUAAGCAUGCAAGUCGAACGGUAUUAUCGUUCUAUUUUAUAGAAUGAUAAGAGAGUGGCGAACGGGUGAGUAACACGUAGGUAAUCUGCCUAUCAAAUUGGGAUAGCCAGUGGAAACACUGAGUAAUACCAAAUACGUACUAUGUGAGGAAUUGCAUAGUAGAAAGGGUACAUCUGUGCCGUUGAUAGAGGAGCCUGCGCUUGAUUAGCUAGUUGGUGGGGUAAGAGCCCACCAAGGCGACGAUCAAUAGCCGGCCUGAGAGGGUGAACGGCCACACUGGGACUGAGACACGGCCCAGACUCCUACGGGAGGCAGCAGCUAAGAAUCUUCCGCAAUGGGCGAAAGCCUGACGGAGCGAUACCGCGUGAAUGAAGAAGGCCGUGAGGUUGUAAAAUUCUUUUCUUGUUGAGGAAUAAAUAUUAUGCGCAAGUGUAAUAUGAUGACGGUAGGCAAGGAAUAAGCCCCGGCUAAUUACGUGCCGGCAGCCGCGGUAAUACGUAAGGGGCGAGCGUUGUUCGGAAUUAUUGGGCGUAAAGGGUACGUAGGCGGAUUAACAGGCAUUAAGAUAAAGCCAACAGCUCAACUGUUGUUAAUUUUAAUGAACCGUUAAUCUAGAGUUAUAGAGGGGAAACUGGAAUUCCUGGUGUAAGGGUGAAAUCUGUAGAUAUCAGGAGGAACAUCAGAGGCGAAGGCGAGUUUCUGGCUAAUAACUGACGCUGAGGUACGAAAGCGUGGGGAGCGAACGGGAUUAGAUACCCCGGUAGUCCACGCCGUAAACGAUGUGCACUAGGUGGUGGAUCUGCGAAGAUUCACUACCGUAGCUAACGUGUUAAGUGCACCGCCUGGGGAGUAUGCUCGCAAGGG
rnacentral:rRNA from 1 species